AUUCAGUGGUGUGUGAACCAACACUGCAUGGAAACAGCACUACCAUGAACACACAAGAGAAAACAGUGCUCGGUUUGGGAACGGCUUUGGGUUUGUGUGCACUUCUGAUUUUCUGCCUCACUUAUUUCAUACUGAAGAGAAGAAAAUGUGUUAAAAUGGACAAUUCUAUAGAAGAUUCUACAGGAAUGAGG